AUGAGGCAGCAGGCGAGCAGGUUCAAGAGGAUGUGCGUCUUCUGCGGCAGCAGCCAGGGCAACAAGAGCAGCUACCACGACGCCGCCAUCGACCUCGCCAACCAGCUCGUGGGCGGGGGCAUCGACCUGGUGUACGGCGGCGGCAGCAUCGGGCUGAUGGGGCUCGUCUCGCAGGCCGUCUACCACGGCGGCAGGCACGUCAUCGGGGUCAUUCCCAAGACUCUGAUGACCCCCGAGAUCGUCGGGGAGAUGGUGGGGGAGGUGAGGCCGGUGGGCGACAUGCACCAGCGCAAGGCCCAGAUGGCCAGCCUCUCCGACGCCUUCAUAGCCCUGCCCGGUGGGUACGGGACGCUGGAGGAGCUGCUGGAGGUGAUCACCUGGGCGCAGCUAGGGAUCCAUCACAAGCCGGUGGGUCUGCUGAAUGUGGAGGGGUACUACGACUCGCUGCUGACCUUCAUCGACCAGGCCGUGGAGGAAGGAUUCAUCAGCCCCGCCGCCCGCCGCAUCAUCGUCUCCGCCCCCACCGCCCACCAACUCAUGGAGAAACUCGAGGAGUACGUCCCUUACUACGAAAUGGUCGCGUCCGGGCUGGACUGGGAGACGGAUCGCCUAGACUUCUGA
rnacentral:rRNA from 1 species